AUACGGGGGGUGCAAGCGUUACUCGGAAUCACUGGGCGUAAAGCGCGCGCAGGCGGGCUGAUAAGUUGGAUGUGAAAGCCUACGGCUCAACCGUAGAACUGCAUCCAAAACUGUCAGUCUAGAGUGUGGGAGAGGAAGAUGGAAUUAGUUGUGUAGGGGUAAAAUCCGUAGAGAUAACUAGGAAUACCAAAAGCGAAGGCAAUCUUCUGGAACACUACUGACGCUGAGGCGCGAAGGCGUGGGGAGCAAACAGGAUUAGAAACCCCUGUAGUCC
rnacentral:rRNA from 1 species